rnacentral:rRNA from 1 species
GACGAACGCUGGCGGCGUGCUUAACACAUGCAAGUCGAACGAUGAAGAAGAGCUUGCUCUUCGGAUUAGUGGCGAACGGGUGAGUAACACGUGACUAACCUGCCCCUUUCUCUGGGAUAACGCAGCGAAAGCUGUGCUAAUACCGCAUAAUCCCUAAGGGGGAAAGCGGGGGACCGUAAGGCCUCGCGCAAUUAGAGCGGCCGAUACCUGAUUAGGUAGUUGGUGAGGUAGAGGCUCACCAAGGCAACGAUAAGUAGCUGGUCUGAGAGGACGUGCAGCCACACUGGGCCUGAGACACGGCCCAGACUCCUACGGGGGGCAGCAGUGGGGAAUUUUGGACAAUGUGGGCAACCCUGAUCCAGCAAUGCCGCGUGAGUGAAGAAGGCCUUCGGGUUGUAAAGCUCUUUUGUCAGGGAAGAAACAGCAGCUCUAACACAGUAUGCGAAUGACGGUACCUGAAGAAUAAGCACCGGCUAACUACGUGCCAGCCGCCGCGGUAA